rnacentral:rRNA from 1 species
UUCCAGACUCCUACGGGAGGCAGCAGUGAGGAAUAUUGGUCAAUGGGCGGGAGCCUGAACCAGCCAAGUCGCGUGAGGGAAGACGGUCCUACGGAUUGUAAACCUCUUUUGCCGGGGAGCAACGGGGUCCUUGCGAGGGCCCGAUGAGAGUACCCGGAGAAAAAGCAUCGGCUAACUCCGUGCCAGCAGCCGCGGUAAUACGGAGGAUCCGAGCGUUAUCCGGAUUUAUUGGGUUUAAAGGGAGCGUAGAUGGGUUGUUAAGUCAGUUGUGAAAGUUUGCGGCUCAACCGUAAAAUUGCAGUUGAAACUGGCAGUCUUGAGUACAGUAGAGGUGGGCGGAAUUCGUGGUGUAGCGGUGAAAUGCUUAGAUAUCACGAAGAACUCCGAUUGCGAAGGCAGCUCACUGGACUGCAACUGACACUGAUGCUCGAAAGUGUGGGUAUCAAACAGGAUUAGAUACCCCGGUAUCA